UGAGAAGAAAGACUUGUUGAUAUUUGGUCCCAAAUGGGAUAAUAACCCUAAACCAUUGCGUUGAGGCAGUGAAUGGCUUGUAUAAAGUUAUUUUGGGUUAGAAUAUGUUAUAAUACAAUGAAUUUGAUUGAUUACAAGUGCUAGAGAUGCAUGAAGAAUGUUUAGAAGUGAGAAAAAAGACUUGUUGAUAUUUGGUCCCAAAUGGGAUAAGAGCCCAAAACCAUUGCGUUGAGGCAGUGAAUGGCUUGUAUAAAGUUAUUUUGGGUUAGAAUAUGUUAAAAUACAAUGAAUUUGAUUGAUUACGGGUGCUAGAGAUGCAUGAAGAAUGUUUAGAAGUGAGAAGAAAGAUUGUUGAUAUUUGGUCCCAAAUGGGUUAAGAACCCAAAACCAUUGCUUUGAUGCAGUGAAUGGCUUGUAUAAAGUUAUUUUGGGUUAGAA
rnacentral:lncRNA from 1 species